rnacentral:misc_RNA from 1 species
GAUGAAGAACGCAGCGAAAUGCGAUAAGUAAUGUGAAUUGCAGAAUCCAGUGAAUCAUCGAAUCUUUGAACGCACAUUGCGCCCGCCAGCAUUCUGGCGGGCAUGCCUGUCCGAGCGUCAUUACAACCCUCAAGCUCUGCUUGGUGUUGGGCCCCGCCGCCCCGGCGGGCCCUAAAGUCAGUGGCGGUGCCAUCCGGCUCCGAGCGUAGUAAUUCUUCUCGCUCUGGAGGUCCGGUUGUGUGCUUGCCAUCAACCCCCAAUUUUUUUCAGGUUGACCUCGGAUCAGGUAGGGAUACCCGCUGAACUUAAGCAUAUCAAUAAGCGGAGGA